rnacentral:lncRNA from 1 species
AUGAAGGUGGAGGCCAUGCGGGUGCUGCGCUACCUCGUGUUGGAGUACCCCGACAGCACGCGGAGCGUGUGCGGCCAGCUGGCCACACAGCUGCUGAGCUGCUUCAACGAGGAUGACAUGAAUGUGCGCUGGAGCUCCAUGAGGCUCUUUAAGCUGCUGCUGCUGCAGCUGGGCAAUAGACAGCUGCUGCCGCAGGCAGAGAGGAGUCUGCUGCUGCUCUGCAUCCACCUGAACGAGGACCUCCCCAAAAUGGCCCAGACCGCUCGGGAUACCCUGAGCCAAGCCGCCAAGCUCCUGGGCUGGAAGGAGCUGCAACGCCUGGCCAAGAAGGCGGACAGCAUCAAGAUUGCCAACUGCGUGCUUCAGAAGGCAGACAGCGCCCUGGAGCCGUACCUGGAGCAGUGCGUGCAGCACCUGCACAGCCCCCAGGUGCAGAUGCGGGAGGCGGCCGUGCGCUUCCUGGGGCUCCUGGCUCAGCGGCUCCACAGUGAGAACCCGGAGCGGAUGCCGGACAUCCGCAGAGCCCUGCAGAGUGCCCAGGAGGACAGCGAGCCGGCCGUGCGCUGCCUGGUGCAGCAAACGCUGCUCAUCCUCAGAAAACUGAAAGGCACGGCGCCCACCAGGCCCGGGGCGCUGCACUGCUGGCUGCAGAGGAUGUGUGGGAACUAG